rnacentral:rRNA from 1 species
AAUGAACGCUGGCGGCGCGCCUAAUACAUGCAAGUCGAGCGAGAAGACGUAGCAAUACGUUUGUAAAGCGGCGAACGGGUGAGGAAUACAUGGGUAACCUACCCUCGAGUGGGGAAUAACUAGCCGAAAGGUUAGCUAAUACCGCGUACGCUUCUUGGACUUCGGUUCAGGGAGGAAAGCGAUGCCGAGGGUAUCGCGCUCUUGGAUGGGCUCAUGUCCUAUCAGCUUGUUGGNGAGGUAACGGCUCACCAAGGCUUCGACGGGUAGCUGGUCUGAGAGGACGAUCAGCCACAC